UACAACCAUAGCACAUUCAAACACCUGUCCUCAUAUGACCACUGAAGUUAAGCAAUGUUGAGCCUGGUCAAUAUCUAGAUGGGUGACUGCUUAGGAAUACCAAAUGUUGUAAG